GGGCACAUGGCGCAGUUGGUAGCGCGUCUCCUUUGCAUGGAGAAGGUCAUCNAUCCGGUUGUGUCCA
rnacentral:tRNA from 1 species